rnacentral:sRNA from 1 species
AAAAGUAAAAAUAAAAUAAAAA